GCCACAUCACGUUGAAACGCUGAUUCCCGUACGAGCACCGAAGUUAAGCAACAUCGAACCUGGUCAGUACCUAGAUGGGCGACCGCUUCGCAAUACCAGUUGCUGUAAG